GUAGGUGGCCGUACUGCCCCGAACACAUCUGAUUUCGUCUGCUCUAGGAAGCUCAGCAGGGCCAGGCCUGGUUGGCACUUGGA
rnacentral:rRNA from 14 species